CCUGGCUCAGGAUUAACGCUGGCGGCAUGCCUAAUACAUGCAAGUCGAACGAGAAUUUAUUCUAGUGGCGAACGGGUGAGUAACGUAUUUCUAACGUGCCCCGGAGAGAGGAAUAACUAUUGGAAACGAUAGCUAAUACCUCAUAGGAUAUCAUUGGGCAUCCUUUGAUGUUUAAAGGUGCGUUUGCACCACUCCGGGAUCGGGAAAUAUCACAUUAGCUAGUUGGUGAGGUAACGGCCCACCAAGGCGAUGAUGUGUAGCCGAGCUGAGAGGUUGAUCGGCCACAAUGGGACUGAGACACGGCCCAUACUCCUACGGGAGGCAGCAGUAGGGAAUUUUCCACAAUGGACGAAAGUCUGAUGGAGCAAUGCCGCGUGAGGGAUGACGGAUUUCGGUCUGUAAACCUCUGUUGUAAGGGAAGAACACCCCACAUAGGAAAUGAUGUGGGAUUGACGGUACCUUACCAGAAAGUCACGGCUAACUAUGUGCCAGCAGCCGCGGUAAUACAUAGGUGGCGAGCGUUAUCCGGAUUUAUUGGGCGUAAAGAGUGCACAGGUGGUUUAUCAAGUCAGGUGUUAAAGCCCGGAGCUCAACUCCGGUUCGCAUCUGAAACUGAUAGACUAGAGUAUCGGUGGGGUUAGUAGAAUUCCAUGUGUAGCGGUGGAAUGCAUAAAUAUAUGGAGGAAUACCAGUGGCGAAGGCGGCUAACUGAACGAUAACUGACACUUAAGCACGAAAGCGUGGGGAGCAAAUAGGAUUAGAUACCCUAGUAGUCCACGCCGUAAACGAUCCACACUAGCCGUAGGAAUUAUUCUGUGGCACAGCUAACGCAUUAAGUGUGGCGCCUGGGUAGUAUGCACGCAAGUGUGAAACUCAAAGGAAUUGACGGGGACCAGCACAAGCGGUGGAGCAUGU
rnacentral:rRNA from 1 species